UACAGAGGUCUCAAGUGUUGUUCGGAAUCACUGGGCGUAAAGGGUGUGUAGGCGGUGUGCUAAGUCAGAUGUGAAAGCCCGGGGCUCAACCUCGGAACUGCAUCCGAUACUGGCAUGCUAGAGAAUUGGAGAGGAGUCUAGAAUUCACGGUGUAGCAGUGAAAUGCGUAGAUAUCGUGAGGAAUACCAAGUGCGAAGGCAGGACUCUGGACAUUUUUCUGACGCUGAGACACGAAGGCCCAGGGGAGCAAAACGGG
rnacentral:rRNA from 1 species